rnacentral:rRNA from 1 species
UACGUAGGGUGCGAGCGUUGCCCGGAAUUACUGGGCGUAAAGAGCUCGUAGGUGGUUUGUCGCGUUGUUCGUGAAAACUCACAGCUUAACUGUGGGCGUGCGGGCGAUACGGGCAGACUGGAGUACUGCAGGGGAGACUGGAAUUCCUGGUGUAGCGGUGGAAUGCGCAGAUAUCAGGAGGAACACCGGUGGCGAAGGCGGGUCUCUGGGCAGUAACUGACGCUGAGGAGCGAAAGCGUGGGGAGCAAACAGG